UACGAAGGGGGCUAGCGUUGUUCGGAAUUACUGGGCGUAAAGGGCGCGUAGGCGGUACUUCAAGUCAGGCGUGAAAGCCCCGGGCUCAACCUGGGAACCACGCUUGAGACUGGAGAACUAGAGUUCGGGAGAGGAUGGUGGAAUUCCCAGUGUAGAGGUGAAAUUCGUAGAUAUUGGGAAGAACACCGAUGGCGAAGGCAGCCAUCUGGACCGACACUGACGCUGAGGCGCGAAAGCGUGGGGAGCAAACAGG
rnacentral:rRNA from 1 species